rnacentral:rRNA from 1 species
GGGCCCGCACAAGCGGUGGAGCAUGUGGUUUAAUUCGAAGAUACGCGCAGAACCUUACCAACACUUGACAUGUUCGUCGCGACUUUAAGAGAUUAAAGUUUUCGGUUCGGCCGGACGAAACACAGGUGCUGCAUGGCUGUCGUCAGCUCGUGUCGUGAGAUGUUGGGUUAAGUCCCGCAACGAGCGCAACCCUCACUUUUAGUUGCCAUCAUUAAGUUGGGCACUCUAGAGAGACUGCCGGUGAUAAACCGGAGGAAGGUGUGGAUGACGUCAAGUCAUCAUGCCCCUUACAUCCUGGGCUACACACGUACUACAAUGCUACGGACAAAGGGCAGCAAGUUCGCGAGGACAAG